AUGGGGCAACUGGACCGGGCAGCCAGUGCCUGUGGGCUGGGGCCAGUGCCCGGGCUUUGUCUUCUGGAAGCCCAGCCAGACAACAGACCCAGGCUCCUCGCUCGCACACCAGGCUCCAUGCAGGCUCCACGCUUGCACACCAGACUCCAUGCAGGCUCCGCGCUCGCACACCAGGCUCCACGCAGGCUCUGUGCUCGCACGCCAGGCUCCAUACAGGCUCCGCACUCGCACGCCAGGCUCCAUGCAGGCUCCAUGCUCACGCCAGGCUCCAUACAGGCUCCGUGCUCACACGCCAGGCUCCAUGCACACUCUGUGCUCACACGCCAGGCUCCAUGCAGGCUCCGUGCUCGCACGCCAGGCUCCGUGCUCGCACGCCAGGCUCCAUGCUCGCACGCCAGGCUCCAUGCAGGCUCCACGCUUGCACGCCAGGCUCCAUGCAGGCUCCGCGCUCGCACACCAGGCUCCAUGAAGGCUCCAUGCAGGCUCCGCGCUCGCACGCCAGGCUCCAUGAAGGCUCCAUGCAGGCUCUGUGCUCGCACGCCAGGCCCAUGCAGGAUCCGUGCUCUCACACCAGGCUCCGCGCUCACACGCCAGGCUCCACGCAGGCUCCAUGCUCGCACGCCAGGCUCCACGCUCACACGCCAGGCUCCAUGCAGGCUCCGCGCUCACACGCCAGGCUCCAUGCUCACAUACCAGGCUCCAUGCAGGCUCCGUGCUCACAUGCCAGGCUCCAUGCACACUCUGUGCUCACACGCCAGGCUCCAUACAGGCUCCGUGCUCACGCCAGGGUCCAUACAGGCUCCGUGCUCACAUGCCAGGCUCCAUGCACGCUCUGUGCUCACACGCCAGGCUCCAUGCAGGCUCCGUGCUCGCACGCCAGGCUCCAUGCACGCUCUGUGCUCACAUCACAUGCCAGGCUCCGUGCAGGCUCUGUGCUUGCACGCCAGGCUCUGUGCUCACACGCCAGGCUCCAUGCAGGUUCCGCGCUCGCACGCCACGCUCCAUGCAGGCUCCGUGCUCACACACCAGGCUCCAUGA
rnacentral:lncRNA from 1 species